rnacentral:rRNA from 1 species
UACGUAGGGUGCGAGCGUUAAUCGGAAUUACUGGGCGUAAAGCGUGCGCAGGCGGUUUUGUAAGACAGGCGUGAAAUCCCCGAGCUCAACUUGGGAAUUGCGCUUGUGACUGCAAGGCUAGAGUGUGUCAGAGGGGGGUAGAAUUCCACGUGUAGCAGUGAAAUGCGUAGAGAUGUGGAGGAACACCGAUGGCGAAGGCAGCCCCCUGGGUCAAGACUGACGCUCAUGCACGAAAGCGUGGGGAGCAAACAGG